rnacentral:rRNA from 1 species
AGCUCUGUAAGCGUAUACCAAAGUUGUUGCAGUUAAAACGCUCGUAGUCGAACCUUGGCGUGAGUUACGGAUGCUCCUAAUGGAUGUUGAAGUAACUCCGCCUUUGUGGAGGGGGGUGUGGUGGUACUUUAUUGUAUUGCUGCACUUCCGCCACUGUUUACUGUGAAAAAAUUAGAGUGUUCAAAGCGAGCGUUUGCCAUGAAUACAUUAGCAUGGAAUAAUAGAAUAGGACCUGGUCCUGUUUUAUUGGUUUGUCUGUAUCAGGUAAUGAUUAACAGGGACGGUCGGGGGCAUUUGUAUUCCAGCGUUAGAGGUGAAAUUCUUGGAUCGCUGGAAGACAAACAGCUGCGAAAGCGUCUGCCAAGGACGUUUUCA